rnacentral:rRNA from 1 species
GACAGAGGGUGCAAACGUUGUUCGGAUUUACUGGGCGUAAAGGGCGCGUAGGCGGCAAUUCAAGUCAUCUGUGAAAUCUCCGGGCUUAACUCGGAACGGUCAGAUGAUACUGCUUUGCUAGAGUGCGGAAGGGGCAAUCGGAAUUCUUGGUGUAGCGGUGAAAUGCGUAGAUAUCAAGAGGAACACCUGAGGUGAAGACGGGUUGCUGGGCCGACACUGACGCUGAUAGCGCGAAAGCCAGGGGAGCAAACGGG